UGGUGGCUGCAGCAGUGCCCAUGGUGCCUGCUUCCUUUGUCAAUUUACCACUGAUGUCAGUGAAGCAGGGGGAGAGGGUGCCCUGGAUGAUGGAGGAGUGAAAGAAGAAGAUGAGAAGAAAUGUCUUCCUUCAUCAGAUGUGCUGAAGAAUGGAUAGAUUGAUGAGGGAGGAGAGAUGUGAGAAGACAAAUGUGUUGUGAGAUAGGCAUUUGUCUAUACCCCUGCAUUCAAAAUGGGUGCCUGUAAUAUACAAGUACCAGAAGGAGUAUUGGGUGAGGAUGGCAGAGAGGAGGGAUGAGAGAGAUGGUGAAAGGGAGAAGAGAAA
rnacentral:sRNA from 1 species